rnacentral:rRNA from 1 species
GCUUUCACUUUAAAGUGAAAUAAGUCGUAACAAAGUAGGUUUACUGGAAAGUGAAUCUAGAAUGCCAAAUUAGAGCUUGAUAUAAAGUAUUUUAUUUACAUUAAAAAGUUAAUUGUGAAAUUCAAUUUAAUUUGAAAUUAAUUAAUUAUUAAAUUUUUAUUUUUUUUUUAUUUUUAUAAAAGUAAUUUAAUUUAAGUAAUUUUAAGAAAAAAUUAUAUUAAUAAUAGAUAAUUAGUGUAUUGUGAAAGAAUUUAUUAAAUUAUGAAAAAGAAAACAUAAUGAUUU